UACGUAGGGACCAAGCGUUGUUCGGAAUUAUUGGGCGUAAAGAGCGUGUAGGCGGCCGUACAGGUCAGCUGUGAAAACUCGAGGCUCAACCUCGAGACGUCGGUUGAAACCGUACGGCUAGAGUCCGGAAGAGGAGAGUGGAAUUCCCGGUGUAGCGGUGAAAUGCGCAGAUAUCGGGAAGAACACCCGUGGCGAAGGCGGCUCUCUGGGACGGUACUGACGCUGAGACGCGAAAGCGUGGGGAGCGAACAGG
rnacentral:rRNA from 1 species